rnacentral:tRNA from 1 species
GCAGGCGUAGCUUCAAGCGGUUGAGCGCCGCCUUGGUAAGGCGGAGGGUGUGGGUUCGAGUCCCACCGCCUGCUCCA